rnacentral:lncRNA from 1 species
UUUUUUUAUCCAAAAGGCUUCUUUAGUUUUUCUGUAAAUUUCUGUCCCAAAUACUUUUUCUAUGGCGGUAACUUUUAAAUUUGUCAUCGAAUGAUUGUGCUGAAUGAAAUGGUUGGCUACUGGAUCUUCUGUUUUCUUUGUUCGUAUUUUUGAAAAGUUCAAUAGCAUCCGUUGUAUAGUGUAUCACCCGUUUGUCCUACAUAUAUAACUUUUUCACAUUUUGUACAAUUAAUUGCAUAUACUACGCCUACGGAUUUACAAUUUAUUUGUCCCUGAAUGGUAUAUUC